GUGGCAAGUCUUCCAGUAUGGGGAGCAAACAGCUAUGGGUCAAGCCCGACAUCUUUAGGAGAAGUCUUAUUGUGAGGGCGAGUUGUAAAACACCAUAGGGCUGGCCGUCCCAUAUGAAAAGAUUUUAUUAGAAUUGAAUGAAACUUUGUUUAUAUAUUGAUAAUGACAGUAUAUAUAUCGUGUCUUGACUAAUUGCGUGCCAGCAGUCGCGGUAAUACGUAAGAGACUAGUGUUAUUCAUCUUAAUUAGGUUUAAAGGGUACCCAGACGGUCAAUAUAGCUUAUAAAAUGUUAGUACUUGACUAGAGUUUUAUGUAAGAGGGCAGUACUUGAGGAGGAGAGAUGAAAUUUCGUGAUACCAAAGGGACUCUGUAAAGGCGAAGGCAGCCCUCUAUGUAAAAACUGACGUUGAAGGACGAAGGCACAGAGAACAAACAGGAUUAGAUACCCAAGUAGUCUUUGCAGUAAAUGAUGAAUGCCAUAGGUUA
rnacentral:rRNA from 2 species